AAGCAAGUCUUAAUAGGGCGAUUAGUUUAAUGAAUUAGACCCGAAAACGAAUGAGCUUACCAUGAGCAGGUUGAAAGUUGGGUAACACCAACCGGAGGACCGAACCAGUUGACGUUGAAAAGUCUUUGGAUGACUUGUGGUAAGGGGUGAAAGGCCAACCAAAUUCGUAGAUAGCUGGUUUUCCGCGAAAACUAUUUAGGUAGUGCGUUGAAUAAAUAGAUGUUUAGAGGUAGAGCACUAAAUGGGCUAGGGGGAAGAGAUUCUUACCAAACCUAAUAAAACUCCGAAUGCUAGACAUUGUUCUUCAACAGACAGACUGUGGGUGCUAAGGUCCAUGGUCGAGAGGGAAAGAGCCCAGACCACCAGAUAAGGUCCCCAAAUUAUGAUUAAGUGUGAAAGGAUGUGGAAAUUCCUUAACAGCCGGGAGGUUGGCUUAGAAGCAGCCAUCCUUUAAAGAUAGCGUAACAGCUCACCGGUCUAAUAGAGUUUCUGCGCCGAAGAUGUAACGGGGCUAAAAUCAUAUACCGAAUCUGUGGGUUUAUAAAACUUUCGAGUUUUAUAAGCGGUAGCGGAACGUUCUGUAAGCCUGUGAAGGGAUACCCGUGAGGGAUCCUGGAGGUAUCAGAAGUGCGAAUGCUGACAUAAGUAACGAUAAAAGAAGUGAAAAACUUCUUCGCCGAAAAUCCAAGGGUUUCUGCGCAAGGUUAAUCCGCGCAGAGUUAGUCGGCACCUAAGGCGAGGGCGAAAGCCGUAGUCGAUGGAAAUAAGGUUAAUAUUCCUUAACCAGAUGGUAGUGACGGAUCUUGUAAGUUGUGUACUCUUAAUGGAUUGAGUAUGCCGCGAAAAGGUUCCAAGAAAUAGCUCCAUCAUUAGACCGUACCCUAAACCGACACAGGUGGAUUAAUAGAGUAUAUUUAGGCGCUUGAGAGAAUGAUGUUGAAGGAACUCGGCAAAAUGCUUCCGUAACUUCGGGAUAAGGAAGACCUGUUUUUAGGCAACUAGAGAUGGGUGGCACAAGCCAGGGAGAAGCGACUGUUUAUCAAAAACACAGGGCUCUGCUAACACGUAAGUGGAUGUAUAGGGUCUGACGCCUGCCCGGUGCUGGAAGGUUAAUGCGGUUGGUGCAAGCUAACUUCUGAAGCCCCAGUAAACGGCGGCCGUAACUAUAACGGUCCUAAGGUAGCGAAAUUCCUUGUCGGGUAAGUUCCGACCUGCAUGAAUGGCGUAACGAUUUCUCCGCUGUCUCCAACAUCAACUCAGUGAAAUUGAAUUCUCCGUGAAGAUGCGGAGUUCGCGUAGUUAGACGGAAAGACCCCGUGCACCUUUACUGCAACUUUACAUUGGUAUUAGGAAAAACAUAUUUAGUAUAGGAGGGAGACAUUGAAGCAAAGGCGUCAGCUUUUGUGGAG
rnacentral:rRNA from 1 species